GUGAGGAAUAUUGGACAAUGGGCGCAAGCCUGAUCCAGCCAUGCCGCGUGCAGGAAGACGCAUCUACGGUGUGUAAACUGCUUUUGUACGGGAAGAAACACUCCCUCGUGAGGGAGCUUGACGGUACCGUAAGAAUAAGGAUCGGCUAACUCCGUGCCAGCAGCCGCGGUAAUACGGAGGAUCCAAGCGUUAUCCGGAAUCAUUGGGUUUAAAGGGUCCGUAGGCGGUUUAAUAAGUCAGUGGUGAAAGCCCAUCGCUCAACGAUGGAACGGCCAUUGAUACUGUUAGACUUGAAUUACAAGGAAGUAACUAGAAUAUGUAGUGUAGCGGUGAAAUGCUUAGAUAUUACAUGGAAUACCAAUUGCGAAGGCAGGUUACUACUUGUGGAUUGACGCUGAUGGACGAAAGCGUGGGGAGCGAACAGGAUUAGAUACCCCAGUAGUCC
rnacentral:rRNA from 1 species